UUUCGUGUGGUGUAGUGGUUAGCAUGCUUGGCUCGUAUUCAAGAGGUCUGUGGUUCGAGUCCCGGUGAGGACA
rnacentral:tRNA from 1 species